rnacentral:lncRNA from 1 species
CUCAGUUCUUCACAGCGCGAGCAAAACGCGUGUACGCACCUCCACGUUUGAUCUCAUGCGAUUCGGUACAUAAAAUAUUACGACUUUUGCGUAAUUCCCGAUUUUCCACUCUCGACCCCUUAGCGAACUUCAUGCAAUAUCCGACAAUCUGUUCAUCGGAUUUCANAAAACGCGUGUACGCACCUCCACGUUUGAUCUCAUGCGAUUCGGUACAUAAAAUAUUACGACUUUUGCGUAAUUCCCGAUUUUCCACUCUCGACCCCUUAGCGAACUUCAUGCAAUAUCCGACAAUCUGUUCAUCGGAUUUCAGAACGGAUUAUACCAUCGCAUUCAGCACGACGAG